rnacentral:rRNA from 1 species
GAACGCGAAGAACCUUACCUGGCUUGACAUACACCAGAACGGGCCAGAGAUGGUCUUUCCCUUGUGGUUGGUGUACAGGUGGUGCAUGGUUGUCGUCAGCUCGUGUCGUGAGAUGUUGGGUUAAGUCCCGCAACGAGCGCAACCCUUGUCUUAUGUUGCCAGCAUUUUAGUUGGGGACUCAUGAGAGACUGCCGGGGUUAACUCGGAGGAAGGUGGGGAUGACGUCAAAUCAUCAUGCCCCUUAUGUCCAGGGCUUCACACAUGCUACAAUGGUCGGUACAACGCGCAGCGACACUGUGAGGUGGAGCGAAUCGCUGAAAGCCGGCCUUAGUUCGGAUUGGGGUCUGCAACUCGACCCCAUGAAGUCGGAGUCGCUAGUAAUCGCAGAUCAGCAAUGCUGCGGUGAAUACGUUCCCGGGUCUUGUACACACC